rnacentral:lncRNA from 1 species
CUUUUCCCAUGCGCAUCGCAAGGGAUCGGUUGAUGGGGCCCUCAGUAUGACUUCGCUAGGAAAAAUAAAGCUCGUUUCUCAGAGCCGGCGGAUGUUCAUGGGCAGCACCAUCGAGCCAGAAGCAGUAUUUGUCCUGGAGGAAAUCAGUGGUGCUUCAGGAUAUUGUGAAUUUGGUCUUCUGAAAGCAGAAUUCUGAUUUAACAGUAUAAUGGAAUUCGUGAACGUCAUGAUGCUAAUUUGAACCAACAAGCACCCUUGUGAGAGGAAUCUGCUUUUCCUCAAGUCUGAAGAACACCAGGAGAAUCUUUCUGUAUGGAGUUACCAGGAAUCCUCUGCUAAGGAAAGUGAAAGGGAAGAUGCAAUUUCUCCUGGGAAGGGGGGAUGCUGAUGUAGAGGGUGACAAGUAAUAUGCCAUGAAGGAUUCAGUCACCUGGUUAGAUUUAGAGUUAGAGUUAUGGUUAAGGAAGAAGGAAGGAAAAAAGGCAGAAGAGGAAGAAAGGAAGCAAGAAAAGAUAAAAUUUAUUCUAAGAUAAAAUUUGUGAAUUUUGCUAAACUAUAUAUAUUUAUUUAUUUAUUUAUUUUAUUUAUUUAUUUAUUUUUGCUGUCAUUAGCCAAGAUAAGGAAUCUUCAAGUUGAGUAAGACUGGAUUUAGAAUUGUCUGGGGGCUUUCAAAAGAGCCAUUCAGUAAAUAAGAAAGAAUACAGGCCUGCAGCACCAGAGUCUGAGCUGGGGGCAUAGGUUUGUGUGAAUUUGGGCAUGGUGGCUCAGGUCUGUAAUCCCAGCACUUUGGGAGGCUGAAGUUGAGGACUGCUUGAGCUCAGGAGUCUGAGACCACCCUGGGCAACAUGGGGAGACCCCAUCUCUACAAAAAAAUAAAAAAUAUUAACCCAAGGUGGUGGCAUGCACCUUGCUGCCAGCUACUGUGGAGGCUGAGGUGAGAGGAUUGUUUAAGUCCAGGAUGUUGAGACUGCAGUGAGCCCUGUUUGUGGCACUGCACUCCUGCCUGGUCCACAGAGGGAGACUCUGUCUGAAGGUGGGGAAAGAAAAGAUUUGUAUGAAUUUGGUGCUGCUUUGUAUUUCAAAAUAGGAAAGUGGAUAUACGAAUAUAUGGCAUAAAAGGUCCAGAUACUGGACCCCAGUGAACUCAAUUGUUUUCAAGGUCUGACUUUAACCUUGCUAGGCUGAAGAAUCUGGAAUGGCUCAGAUGUUUCUAGUUCAGCUGUAACUUUUGCCUCCUUUAGAGUAAAGCUGUGGGGGACUUGAGUAUACUCAGAGUGGAUCUGAGAGGUAUCUGCUUCCAGAAUGAAUUAGAAUUCCUGGAUUUGAAUCAUAAUCAGAUGGCUGUUAAGGGGUUAUUGAAGACAUAUGGCUCUUAAGUUCACAAUAUUGAAUUCAGGUGAAUAUUAUAAAUAUUUGUAAGUUGGAUUAUAUUAUUGAAGCACUUGGUAAAAAUUGCCAUGCAGGGAUAAAUGUAGGAAGGGGAUUGCAGAGUCUGAUAUCUAAAAAAUAAGUGGAGCAGCAUUUGGAAACCCCGUUCACAUUUUCAAUCUCUUUUCUCUCAUUAGAACCUAACUGCUAUCCUCUAAUCCCUACUUUUGAAAAAAUGUAUUUAAGGCUGGGCGUGGUGGCUCACGCCUGUAAUCCCAGCACUUUGGAAGGCCGAAGUGGG